rnacentral:rRNA from 1 species
CCUACGGGUGGCUGCAGUGGGGAAUAUUGGACAAUGGGGGCAACCCUGAUCCAGCCAUGCCGCGUGUGUGAAGAAGGCCCUCGGGUUGUAAAGCACUUUCAGUGAGGAAGAACGCCUGGUGGUUAAUACCCAUCAGGAAAGACAUCACUCACAGAAGAAGCACCGGCUAACUCCGUGCCAGCAGCCGCGGUAAUACGGAGGGUGCGAGCGUUAAUCGGAAUUACUGGGCGUAAAGCGCGCGUAGGUGGCUUGAUAAGCCGGUUGUGAAAGCCCCGGGCUCAACCUGGGAACGGCAUCCGGAACUGUCAAGCUAGAGUGCAGGAGAGGAAGGUAGAAUUCCCGGUGUAGCGGUGCAAUGCGUAGAGAUCGGGAGGAAUACCAGUGGCGAAGGCGGCCUUCUGGACUGACACUGACACUGAGGUGCGAAAGCGUGGGUAGCAAACAGGAUUAGAUACCCCAGUAGUC